rnacentral:rRNA from 1 species
AUUGGAUUGAGAACAAUGUACAACUCUUAUCGAUAAGCCAUUGGAGGGCAAGUCUGGUGCCAGCAGCCGCGGUAAUUCCAGCUCCAAUAGCGUAUAUUAACGUUGUUGCAGUUAAAAAGCUCGUAGUUGAAGUGUGGGUGAUCGCUGUUGUGAGACUUCGGUCUCUCGACAGUAAGUCACCCCCUUCCAGUAUCCAGUAGUGGGUAUUCAGUUACUUACUAUUGUGUGUUGGUCCUUUACUGUGAGAAAAUUAGAGUGUUCAAAGCAGGCGUUUGCUUGAAUAGAUUAGCAUGGAAUAAUAAUUGAAGGCUUUCGUGUUCGAUUUGAUUGGUUUGUUCAUGGAAGCAAGGUUAAAAGGAACAGUUGGGGGUAUUCAUAUUCACUAGUUAGAGGUGAAAUUCUCGGAUUUAUGGAAGAUGAACAAGUGCGAAAGCAA